rnacentral:misc_RNA from 1 species
UAAUAAGUAGUUUUAUGGCACUUUUUAAAUCCAUAUCCACCUUGUGUGCAAUGUCAGUCGAUCUUCUUCAUGGAGAUCGACCAAACAUCAACCUUUAUCUUUUAACUCUUUGUCUGAAGAAUAUUAUGAAUAAACAAUUCAAAAUA